AGCAGCCGCGGUAAUUCCAGCUCCAAUAGCGUAUAUUAAAGUUGUUGCAGUUAAAAAGCUCGUAGUUGAAUUUCGGGGCUAGUAGGUUGGUCAUGCCUCUGGUAUGUACUGGUCUCACUGAUUCCUCCUUCCUGAUGAGCCGUAAUGCCAUUAAUUUGGUGUUGCGGGGAAUUUGGACUGUUACUUUGAAAAAAUUAGAGUGUUUAAAGCAAGCUAACGCUUGAAUACAUUAGCAUGGAAUAAUGAAAUAGGACGUUCGAUCCUAUUUUGUUGGUUUCUAGGAUUGACGUAAUGAUUAAUAGGGAUAGUUGGGGGCAUUAGUAUUCAAUUGUCAGAGGUGAAAUUCUUGGAUUUAUUGAAGACUAACUACUGCGAAAGCAUUUGCCAAGGAUGUUUUCAUUAAUCAAGAACGAAAGUUAGGGGAUCGAAGACGAUCAGAUACCGUCGUAGUCUUAACCAUAAACUAUGCCGACUAGGGAUCGGAUGAUGUAAUUUUUAAUGACUCAUUCGG
rnacentral:rRNA from 1 species